CGCCGUGCAUCUGUUUUGAGAGAUCAUUUUAGAGCAUUAGGCUAAGAUUGAGUUGGAUCGAAAAUUCAAGUUGGCCUCACGGAAGGAAAUGUGGGGAUUGAGUGACCACUGUUUGAAACAUUCGUACGGCCACCAAGUUGAUUAGUCAGGAACAAAAAAAAACAAAACCCUACGGACCUCUCUCUCUCUCUCUCUCACGAACCCUCUCCUCUCCAAAACCUCCCCUCACGAAUCGUCAAAUAUUUCCUUCAGCGCCUCCUCUCUGCAUCCCCCUUGCAGAAGAAACCCUAGAAAUCUAGGUCUUACCACUAUUCCCUUCUAUAUGCACUGGAUUCAGGGCAUUCUCUUCCUCCAAUCAAAUAGACCAAAGCCUUAGAAUCAAUCCUUCUAGAAAUCAGCAACGCAAAACUAAAGAAAAUCACGAGCACUAAUGAGAUCAUCCUGUGCAUUAUGAAGUCGAUGUGGUAUCAUGGCGGGCUCGGAGAAUCCAAGCUUGGGCAUUGGUUGCUGCCAAACUUUGAAACCAUGUGAACGGGGGGUGGUAGCAUGGCAUGCAACCCAUUCAACUAUGACGUGGGCAUAGUGCACUCUAGAUGCUUGUAAAAAUGUCAUAGUGAAUGGGGAGGUGGAAAAGAAUACAGAAUGUAGUCCAAAUAGAAAUGAGACAGUCCCAAGAUUGACAUUCCUAGAAUCCUGAAAAAGAAGUCUCUGAUUGCUGCUAUGGAAGCUGCAGAUGUGAAGAACAAGUGGGAGAACAGCUCAUGGGGCCGAAAGCUGAUCGUGCAGAAGAGGAGCUUCUCUCAAUGACUUUGAUAGGUUCAAGGUUAUGCUGAGUUGGUGCAAUCAGGCAAGAACUCGCUAAGCUGAAAAAACAGGCUGUAGCUUAAAUAAAAUCUCUCAAGACUCCCUUGAUUUUUGUUACAGAUCUGUCAUAGUUGUGAUUUUGGUACUGUUAUUUCCAUUAAGUUUUGUUUUAAGCGCGAUUAGGUUUCACCUUUUUCUGUCCGACGGUAUUUGAAGUAAUCUUUGAGAGACUUGCAUUUAAA